AAUGUAUGACGCCGUUGACUUUUUGUCCAACGUUUGACUAUCCGUCUUAUUUAAAAAAUUUAUGUAAUUAUAAUAUAUUUUAUUAUGACUUGAUUCAUCCUGAAAUGUUUUUUAAGCAUGACAUAAAUAUUUUUAUAUUUGCAUAAAAAUUUUGAAUAAAACGAAUGGUCAAACGUUGGUUAAAAAGUCAACGGCGUUAUACAUU
rnacentral:pre_miRNA from 1 species